AUAUAUAUAUAUAUACACACACUUCUAAGUUUUGUUAAUGAAAUUUUCUGGUUAAUAAUAUGAAUUUAGACUUAACUGAGCUUUUUAAACAUGAAUAAACUCAUGAUUAAUAAUAUAUCCAUUCCCGUGUGGUAGCAUGGGUUACAUACUAGUAUAUAGUAAUAGGUAAAGCUUAGAUAAAGUCAAAUUAGAAUUUUAAAUUAGAGUCCAAUUUUGCGCCAUGUGUCUAUAUUUAUGUGAGGACCAUACCAUAAUUAUCCUUCUAGGUGUUUAAUUAGAAUUUGAAAUCUAUAUAUCUAUAUAUAUAAUUAAAGCAAAAACUUAGAGAAAAUCCAAUUAGAAUCUAAAAUUAGAGUCCCAUUUUAUGCCAUGUGUUCCAAAAAAAUCUUAAUUGUAGUGUUAGAUGUGAGGACAACACCUUAAUUAUCCUUCCAAGUGUCCAUUAUGAAUAAAUCACUUAUGGAUUUGUCUUGGAAGUGCAAUAAGGAUGGUGAACAAAAUAACAUAACAUUUACUCUCCUACAAUCUCAAUACGAUAUUUUGAAUCUCAAUACAAUCUUUAUGACUUAAUGACCUUGACGUUUAGGCAGUUUGCACUUGGUCGUCUUCUCAACUCCUAAAACCCCCAUUAAUUCUUGGUUUUGCUUUUAUAAACAAACAAAAAGCAAUGGUAGAUUCAGCCCAAAUUUACUAUAUUGAAGAAAACUCAAAUGUCUUGAGAGAUGAAUGCACUUUGGGAAUUAGCUAGCCAUCAGAAUUUGCCACGGUCGAUUUCUUCACACAACUGGUUGGCAUCUAUAGGUGGAACAUCUUUGAAUUGAAAGAGGCCAAUUACAUCUUCUACUUCUUCUUCGACCGCAGCAAAUUCAUCAACUAUAAUAAAAAAAUUUCAGAGUUUGAUUGUUUUUGCAAUUGUGGCAUUCAUUUAGUUUUGGAGGAGAUUUGAACGUAAUGGUGUAUCACUUCAACGGAUUUGGUUUUGAUUAAGGUUUUUGACUUUUUAGGUUGUUACCUUUUUAGUUUUGUUUUGGAUAUUUUGGUUAAAUUAAUUUUGUGUAUCCGUGUAUUGUUUUUCUAAAAACAAGUAUUCAACUUUAUCUAAUUAUUUUCAUUUUCUU